rnacentral:rRNA from 1 species
ACAAGCAGUGGGAGCACCCUUUGGGGUGUGACUGCGUACCUUUUGUAUAAUGGGUCAGCGACUUAUAUUCUGUAGCAAGGUUAACCGUAUAGGGGAGCCGGAGGGAAACCGAGUCUUAAUUGGGCGUUAAGUUGCAGGGUAUAGACCCGAAACCCGGUGAUCUAGCCAUGGGCAGGUUGAAGGUUGGGUAACACUAACUGGAGGACCGAACCGACUAAUGUUGAAAAAUUAGCGGAUGACCUGUGGCUGGGGGUGAAAGGCCAAUCAAACCGGGAGAUAGCUGGUUCUCCCCGAAAGCUAUUUAGGUAGCGCCUCGUGAAUUCAUCUCCGGGGGUAGAGCACUGUUUCGGCUAGGGGGCCAUCCCGGCUUACCAACCCGAUGCAAACUGCGAAUACCGGAGAAUGUUAUCACGGGAGACACACGGCGGGUGCUAACGUCCGUCGUGAAGAGGGAAACAACCCAGACCGCCAGCUAAGGUCCCAAAGUCAUGGUUAAGUGGGAAACGAUGUGGGAAGGCCCAGACAGCCAGGAUGUUGGCUUAGAAGCAGCCAUCAUUUAAAGAAAGCGUAAUAGCUCACUGGUCGAGUCGGCCUGCGCGGAAGAUGUAACGGGGCUAAACCAUG